rnacentral:rRNA from 1 species
CCUACGGGAGGCAGCAGUGGGGAAUAUUGGGCAAUGGGCGCAAGCCUGACCCAGCAACGCCGCGUGAAGGAAGAAGGCUCUCGGGUUGUAAACUUCUUUUAUCAGGGACGAAGAAAGUGACGGUACCUGAAGAAUAAGCCACGGCUAACUACGUGCCAGCAGCCGCGGUAAUACGUAGGUGGCAAGCGUUAUCCGGAUUUACUGGGUGUAAAGGGUGUGUAGGCGGGAAAGCAAGUCAGAUGUGAAAACCAUGGGCUCAACCUGUGGCCUGCAUUUGAAACUGUUUUUCUUGAGUGCUGGAGAGGCAAGCGGAAUGCCUAGUGUAGCGGUGAAAUGCGUAGAUAUUAGGAGGAACACCAGUGGCGAAGGCGGUCUGCUGGACAGCAACUGACGCUGAGGCGCGAAAGCGUGGGGAGCAAACAGGAUUAGAUACCCGUGUAGUC